rnacentral:rRNA from 1 species
GACGAACGCUGGCGGCGUGCUUAACACAUGCAAGUCGAACGAUGAAGCGGUGCUUGCACCGUGGAUUAGUGGCGAACGGGUGAGUAAUACGUGAGUGACCUACCUUUGACUCUGGGAUAAGCCUGGGAAACUGGGUCUAAUACCGGAUACGACCAAUCUCUGCAUGGGGUGUUGGUGGAAAGCGUUAUGGAGUGGUUUUAGAUGGGCUCACGGCCUAUCAGCUUGUUGGUGAGGUAAUGGCUUACCAAGGCGACGACGGGUAGCCGGCCUGAGAGGGUGACCGGCCACACUGGGACUGAGACACGGCCCAGACUCCUACGGGAGGCAGCAGUGGGGAAUAUUGCACAAUGGGCGCAAGCCUGAUGCAGCGACGCCGCGUGAGGGAUGACGGCCUUCGGGUUGUAAACCUCUGUUAGCAUCGAAGAAGCGAAAGUGACGGUAGGUGCAGAGAAAGCGCCGGCUAACUACGUGCCAGCAGCCGCGGUAAUACGUAGGGCGCGAGCGUUGUCCGGAAUUAUUGGGCGUAAAGAGCUUGUAGGCGGUUGGUCGCGUCUGCUGUGAAGGCCGGGGCUUAACUCCGGUUUUGCAGUGGGUACGGGCUAACUAGAGUGCAGUAGGGGAGACUGGAAUUCCUGGUGUAGCGGUGGAAUGCACAGAUAUCAGGAGGAACACCGAUGGCGAAGGCAGGUCUCUGGGCUGUAACUGACGCUGAGAAGCGAAAGCAUGGGGAGCGAACAGGAUUAGAUACCCUGGUAGUCCAUGCCGUAAACGUUGGGCACUAGGUGUGGGGGACAUUCCACGUUUUCCGCGCCGUAGCUAACGCAUUAAGUGCCCCGCCUGGGGAGUACGGCCGCAAGGCUAAAACUCAAAGGAAUUGACGGGGGCCCGCACAAGCGGCGGAGCAUGCGGAUUAAUUUGAUGCAACGCGAAGAACCUUACCAAGGCUUGACAUGCAUUAGAUCGCGUCAGAGAUGGCGUUUCCCUUCGGGGCUGGUGUACAGGUGGUGCAUGGUUGUCGUCAGCUCGUGUCGUGAGAUGUUGGGUUAAGUCCCGCAACGAGCGCAACCCUCGUUCUAUGUUGCCAGCGGUUCGGCCGGGGACUCAUAGGAGACUGCCGGGGUCAACUCGGAGGAAGGUGGGGAUGACGUCAAAUCAUCAUGCCCCUUAUGUCUUGGGCUUCACGCAUGCUACAAUGGCCGGUACAGAGGGUUGCGAUACUGUGAGGUGGAGCUAAUCCCUUAAAGCCGGUCUCAGUUCGGAUUGGGGUCUGCAACUCGACCCCAUGAAGUCGGAGUCGCUAGUAAUCGCAGAUCAGCAACGCUGCGGUGAAUACGUUCCCGGGCCU